rnacentral:rRNA from 1 species
UGUUCUCUAAAUAGGGACUAGUAUGAAUGGCAUCACGAAGGUUGCACUGUCUCCCAUCCUUAAUCAGUGAAAUUAAUCCCCCCGUGAAGAAGCGGGGAUAAAAUUAUAAGACGAGAAGACCCCGUGGAGCUUAAAACUAAAGGCACCUGCUUACUCCAUAUAAAAGUCUAGCACCCUGACCCAUAGUUUUCGGUUGGGGCGACCACGGAGAAAAACCCACCCUCCACGCUGAAUGACCCCCAUCUUAGCCCAAAGCCACAGCUUCAAGCAUCAGCAUCCUGACACCCCUUGACCCAAUUAAUUGAUCAACGAACCAAGUUACCCCGGGGAUAACAGCGCAAUCUACUUCAAGAGCUCCUAUCGACAAGUGGGUUUACGACCUCGAUGUUGGAUCAGGGUACCAAGUGGUGCAGCCGCUACUAAAGGUUCGUUUGUU